CCUACGGGAGGCAGCAGUGAGGAAUAUUGGUCAAUGGACGAGAGUCUGAACCAGCCAAGUAGCGUGAAGGAUGACUGCCCUAUGGGUUGUAACCUUCUUUUAUAAAGGAAUAAAACGAGGCACGUGUGCCUUUUUGCAUGUACUUUAUGAAUAAGGAUCGGCUAACUCCGUGCCAGCAGCCGCGGUAAUACGGAGGAUCCGAGCGUUAUCCGGAUUUAUUGGGUUUAAAGGGAGCGUAGAUGGGUUGUUAAGUCAGUUGUGAAAGUUUGCGGCUCAACCGUAAAAGUGCAAUUGAUACUGGCAGUCUUGAGUACAGUUGAGGUAGGCGGAAUUCGUGGUGUAGCGGUGAAAUGCUUAGAGAUCACGAAGAACCCCGAUUGCGAAGGCAGCUUACUAAACUGUGACUGACAUUGAUGCUCGAAAGUGUGGGUAUCAAACAGGAGUAGAUACCCGAGUAGUC
rnacentral:rRNA from 1 species